rnacentral:rRNA from 1 species
GUCAUUAGAGGAGUAAAGUGUACAGUCUCCGUGUGAACCAGCGGAGGGAUCAUUA